UUUGUAUCCAGCUGAUCUGUGGUUUAGGUAGUUUCAUGUUGUUGGGAUUGCUUUUUCUUAACGCGGCAACAAGAAACUGCCUUAAUUACGUCAGUUCGUCUUCAUC
ensembl:miRNA xtr-mir-196a xtr-mir-196a